rnacentral:lncRNA from 1 species
AUGAAUGCAUCAAAGAUUUCAAAUUCUGCAGGUUCCAGAAGAAGGAGGAGAUGGGAAAGGAGUUUAUGCCAGAUAAAGCUCCAGCAACACCAGGAUGCUUUCAGCCUGCAGCAAUUGACAAUUCCAUAUUUUAUUGAAUUGAAGCAAAAUUUCUUUCUCAUGCAUGUUACAUGUCAAUUGCAAGCCAGCAAAAGGACUCUGAUCAUCACAGCAGUUCAGCCCUACAGAUUGAGAGAGGCUCCAUCUCAAACCAUGCUCCACAGUGUCUGAGGUAAGGAAAAGAAAGUACAGCAAACCAUGCGCUUACUCUUAAAGCUGCUGCCCAGAGGUAACGCAUCACUGGUUCACAUUUCAUUGGCCGAAAAAGUCACAUAGCCAAGAAUGCCUUUAAGAAGCAGGAGAGUAUCAACCUCCCUAGAGAGGAGAAGCAGAUAACAGUUUACUGCAGCCCCCACAUUCACCUUGCUCUCUCUGGCCCUUGCAUAUCUCAUUUUCUGUGCUCUGUUAGUGCCCCAAGCACACUCCCAACUCCUCCUCCUCCCCAUCAUUGCUCACUAUAUGCCAGGCACUGGGCUAGGCUUUUUUCAUCCUUUCUCUCAUUCAAUCUUCACAAUGACUCUAUGGAGUCAGUACGGUUAUUAACCCCAAUUUACAGAGAAAGACGCUGACGUGGGGAGGUUAACAGCUAGCUCCUCAGUUCCUACCUCUGUUCUCUGCUUCUGGUCCUGUGGUCACCCAUUCUGAUUUCCACCUCCACUGGCCUUCCUCGUCUCAGUCUCCUCCACAGCUUCUGACGAGAGACAGUCACAGCUUUUGGAACUUCAGAAGUGGGGCCACCUACAGUACCUCCAGACAGUGAAGGAGAACUGGGGACAAAGACAAGGCGCUCUGGGAGCUCAGAAGAAUUGACUAGCUCUACUGAUGAAGAGGAAAAGGAAUAGCGGUGGUUUAAGAUACACACCAGGUACAAGUUUGCUGGGAAAAGCAUAGAACUGCCUGUGUGAUGUGUGGCAGGCCUGGGAAGGGGCAAGUGUUCCUAAAGUGCUCUUCUGUGAGAGAUGCAUUUAUUUAUUCUCUCUCCUCUGUAACUCAGAAUCUGGGCUACACAUAUGAUGAUGAUGAUGAUGAUGACAAUGAUGAUGAUGAACAUAAUGGUAGGGGCUGGCCUGGUGGUGUAGUGUUUAAGUUUGCGUGCUCCACUUUGGUGGCCUGGAGUUCGCAAUUCCGAUCCUGGGCACAGACCUAGCACCACCAGUAGAUCCCACGCAGUAAUAGAGGAAGAUUGCCAUAGAUGUUAGCUCAGCCACAAUCUUCCUCAAGGAGAAAGAGGAAGAUUGGCAACAGGUGUUAGCUCAGGGCCAGUCUUCCUCACACACACACACACACACACACACACGCAAAAGAUAAUGAUGAUGAUGACAAUGAUGGUAAUGCUGAUUAUGAUAAUGAUGAUGAUGGUGAUGAUGAUGACAAUGAAGAUAAUGGUGAUGAUGACAAUGAUGAUGAUAAUGGUGAUGAUGAUGAUAGCAAACAUCUACAUGGCAUAAGACACUUAAUAUGGGUCACAUGUUACUUUGGUUUCAACAUAUAUCAACAUGUUUAAUUCUCACAACAUCCUUGGAGGAGAAACUAUGAUUAUCCCCAUUUUAUAGAUGAUGAAACUGAAUCAGAAAGGUUAAGUGACUUGCCCAAGUUUACGCAGUGAGUAAGUAGCAGAGCCUGGAUUUGAUCCUAGGCAGUCUAUCUCAGGCGUUUGCACUCUUAACCUCUAUAAUUAUAACAUGAAUGCUUGCUGUGGGCCAAGUUCUGCUCUAAGUCUUUACAUGUAUUCACUCCUUGGCCCCAUGGAACAAGAAACUUCUGAUGUACAUAUACUUCUUAAUAUCAUUUGACACAUAGGAAGCUGAGGAGCAGAGAAGUUAAAUAAUUUGUCCAAGCUCACACGGAAAUGAUUGUCAGAUCUGGGGUUUAAACCGAGGGAGUCAGACUCCAGAGCCAGCAAUCUCGGCUACUGUGCUUUACUAUCACAGGGUUUGUUCCUUUAUAACCUACUAGAUACAGAGCUCUCUACAGUGGGACCAGAAGGGUUUGAGUCUAGAUUUAACGAGGACGACACUGGCUCUCUAUAGUUCAGUGAGUAGCAAAGUGUGUGUAUAUCUGUGAUUAACACGUAAGUCUCAAUACAGUGCAAUUCCAGUGUUAUGUUCAAUUCCUCCUCACUAGGAAUUUGGUGAAACUUUUGUUUGAUAGGGUCAUGAAAGUUGUCUCUGUCCUGGUUCUGAUUAGAUGCUAUUCUGUGUCCCAUGAUGGACCACAUCCCGCAUUGACUUACAUAGGUUUGUUUGUUCAUUUAUUCAUGCAUUCAUUGAUCCACUCAAUAAAUAUUUGUUGAACCUGACUGAGUGCCA